rnacentral:tmRNA from 1 species
GGGGGUGACCGGCUUCGACUUCGGUCGGUCGAGUCAGGAGAAGCGGGUCGAGGGUUGCUGUCGUGACCUCGUAAAUCCUGUGACAGCAAAACAAUAACUGCCAACAAGAAGCAGUCCGAGUUCGCCCUCGCCGCCUGAGCGAGGAGCGAACUCUGUCAGCCUGGGUGAGUCUCCGCCCCAGGACCUGACAUCAUCAGGAGACUCCACCGAACAGCCCGGUCGCGGGGCUGUGCGGGAAAUCGAACAGCGACUGAGCCCGUCGGCGACUAGCCUGUGUGAGCGCCGGGGCCGAGAAACCGCCUAACAGGCUGCACCCGGAGAAGCCCUGACUCAUCAUCGAAGGACGCGGGUUCGAUUCCCGCCACCUCCAC